rnacentral:misc_RNA from 1 species
UUUCCGUAGGUGAACCUGCGGAAGGAUCAUUAUUGUAUAACCGAGGUGCGAGGGCUGUCGCUGACCCGAAAGGUCGUGCACGCCCGAGUGCCCUCACACACAUCCACCUCACCCCUAUGUGCACCACCGCGUGGGUCCCCCUUUGGCUUGUUCGGAGGGGGGCUUACGUGUUCACACAAACUUUGUAUGCAGUGUAGAAUGUAUUUUUUGUUUUUGCGAUCACGCAAUCAAUACAACUUUCAACAACGGAUCUCUUGGCUCUC